GUCAGGAUGGCCGAGUGGUC
rnacentral:ncRNA from 2 species